UACAGAGGGGCAAGCGUUGUUCGGAAUUACUGGGCGUAAAGGGCGCGUAGGCGGCCUUCUAAGUCGAACGUGAAAUCCCCGGGCUCAACCCGGGAACUGCGUCCGAUACUGGGAGGCUUGAAUCCGGGAGAGGGAUGUGGAAUUCCAGGUGUAGCGGUGAAAUGCGUAGAUAUCAAGGAGGAACACCGGUGGCGAAGGCGGCCCUCUGGACGGUGACUGACGCUGAGACGCGAAAGCGUGGGGAGCAAACAGG
rnacentral:rRNA from 1 species